rnacentral:rRNA from 1 species
UAGGGAGCAAGCGUUAUCCGGAUUUAUUGGGUGUAAAGGGUGCGUAGGCGGCUUUUUAAGUCUGUAGUCUAAGCCCGGAGCUUAACUCCGGUUUGCUACAGAAACUGAUUGGCUUGAGUAUGGUAGAGGCAAGUGGAAUUUCUAGUGUAGCGGUUAAAUGCGUAGAUAUUAGAAGGAACACCAGUGGCGAAGGCGACUUGCUGGGCCAUCACUGACGCUGAGGCACGAAAGCGUGGGGAGCA